rfam:Asian citrus Psyllid, Diaphorina citri - Florida Strain, whole genome shotgun sequence.
ACCUAGUUAGCUUGGAGAGUAGAGCGUCUGCCUUGUAAGCGCUAGGUCGCGGGUUCGAUUUCCGCCCUGGUUG